AAAGAUUGUAAUUCUUGGAUCAGUCCAGCUGCUUUAAUCGUUUUUGGACCAUCAGCUACUCCUUCCUUACACUGCGAAUAAAUUCAAUGAAUAAAAAGUUAUUAUAAUGCUGAUUUAUAUCGUACCUGUCCUUUUUCGAAUGUUUGUGAUUGAAUAAGAAAUAGUGAUUCCUCAGCGACCUAUGCUCUCGUGUUGCAAUACAGAUAACACGCGCGAUUUUCGGCUCAUAAAUACACCGUAAUCAUAAAUAUAUGUUAGGUUAUAAGAGUAAGGUACAGACAUUAUAUUUAUUUAACUGUGGAUACAAAUGCAGAAAAUAUAUUAUCACCAACCUGAGAAUUCUUGACCUAACGUCAAUGGCACAGCAUCCUGAGUGCAUGCGUUCAAAGGUAUCGCCGAUUGGAAAAUUGAUCACCGAACGCAUAGUUUGUGCUCCAUAGUAUUUGUCAGCAGGGACUUUGAGUUCACCAAAAGUAUCCCUCUCAAUUCGAUAUUCUUUACUUCCAUCCUGCAAU